rnacentral:rRNA from 1 species
GGUUAAGCGACUAAGCGUACACGGUGGAUGCCCUGGCAGUCAGAGGCGAUGAAGGACGUGCUAAUCUGCGAAAAGCGCCGGCGAGGUGAUAUGAACCUUUGACCCGGCGAUGUCCGAAUGGGGAAACCCAGUGUGUUCCGACACACUAUCGUUAACUGAAUACAUAGGUUAACGAGGCGAACCGGGGGAACUGAAACAUCUAAGUACCCCGAGGAAAAGAAAUCAACCGAGAUUCCCCCAGUAGCGGCGAGCGAACGGGGAGCAGCCCAGAGUCUGAAUCAGCUUGUGUGUUAGUGGAAGCGUCUGGAAAGUCGCACGGUACAGGGUGACAGUCCCGUACACGAAAAUGCACAGGUUGUGAACUCGAAGAGUAGGGCGGGACACGUGGUAUCCUGUCUGAAUAUGGGGGGACCAUCCUCCAAGGCUAAAUACUCCUGACUGACCGAUAGUGAACCAGUACCGUGAGGGAAAGGCGA